UUUUCUUACUUAAUUCAGGCCGUUGUUUCUCAUUUCAAAUGUUUUACAUUCGUCAUGACGGGGUGUUUUAUAGCUUAUUAGUUUCAACUUUAUCAGGAUAUUCUCGUCAUCUUUGCUGCAGUUAACUGUUUUGUCAUAAAAAGAAAUCAGGAAAUCUUUCAAUAGACCAAAUUCUUCACCUAAGUAAUAUUAUCAAAUCAAUUGCAUACAUC
rnacentral:lncRNA from 1 species